UAGGAUUCCCUUAGUAGCUGCGAGCGAACAGGGAAAAGCCCAUCACUGAAUCCUGCGUGCAUUGUGCGUUAGGAAUUGUAGUGUUUAGGAGAAUCUGUUUAUCCUGUGUACGAGCAAUAAGAUUAAGUCCUUCUUGAAUGGGGCCACUAACCCAUAGAGGGUGCCAGGCCCGUACUGUCUAUUGCCGCUAAAUAGGAAGAUUUCUCUUUAGAGUCGGGUUGCUUGAGAGUGCAGCUCUAAGUGGGUGGUAAACUCCAUCUAAGGCUAAAUAUGAUCACGAGACCGAUAGCAAACAAGUACCGUGAGGGAAAGUUGAAAAGAACUUUGAAGAGAGAGUUCAAUAGUACGUGAAACUGUUCAGGGGUAAACCUGAGAAUCCUGAUUUGUCUAUGAUAAAGAUUCAUACGUUUUUCAAUGACAGCGAUUAAUUUUAAUGUUUAUGUCAGUAGUUUUUACUAUGUGAUUGCAUUAUGUUAACGUACUGAUGUCGAAAGCGUGCAAUUCUUUGUCAAUUGGACAUCGCAACCCGUUGUUCGUCUGUCUAAGAGCUAAUGUGUUGUUAUUUUGUGGCUGCAAGCACUUGGAUUUCCGACAGGCAUGUGCGACGGUAUGAACAUUUAGCGUGCGGUCGCGACUAAUUCGCGUCUCCUCCAAUGCAAGUGUGUAAAAGCAUUGUUGGCAUUGGUUGUGUGACAGUACCGAAUGUGCGCAUGUUUGCGAUGCUUAAGCUUCAGGAAAUUUCAGGACCCGUCUUGAAACACGGACCAAGGAGUCUAGCAUGUUCGCAAGUUGUUGGGAUUAUUAAUGAAACCCAUAAGCGAAAUGAAAGUGAAGGUUAAUCUUGCGUUGACCGAGGGAAGAUAGUUGGCACACCGUUGUCAUCUCGCACUCCCAGGGCGUCCCAUUCUAUAUUAUAGAAGGGGCGCAUCUAGAGCGAACACGCUGGUACCCGAAAGGUGGUGAACUAUGCCUGGUCAGGGCGAAGUCAGGGGAAACCCUGAUGGAGGUCCGUAGCGAUUCUGACGUGCAAAUCGAUCGUCGGAACUGGGUAUAGCGGCGAAAGACUAAUCGAACCAUCUAGUAGCUGGUUCCCUCCGAAGUUUCUCUCAGGAUAGCUGGCGCUCAAUGAAUGAGUCUCUUUCGGUAAAGCGAAUGAUUAGAGGCAUUGGGGUCGAAACGGCCUCAACCUAUUGUCAAACUUUAAAUGGGUGAGAUUUCCGGCUUGCUUAAAUUAAUGAAGCCGUGAAGUAUGUAUGUGCAUUUGUGUGCAUAUACUGUGGAUCAGAGUGCCAAGUGGGCCAUUUUUG
rnacentral:rRNA from 1 species